rnacentral:rRNA from 1 species
UACGGGGGGAGCAAGCGUUGUUCGGAUUUACUGGGCGUAAAGGGCGCGUAGGCGGCCAGCACAAGUCAGUUGUGAAAUCUCCGAGCUUAACUCGGAAAGGUCAACUGAUACUGUGCGGCUAGAGUGCGGAAGGGGCAACUGGAAUUCUUGGUGUAGCGGUGAAAUGCGUAGAUAUCUGAAGGAACAUCGGUGGCGAAGGCGGCAUCCUGGACCGGUAUUGACGCUGAGGCGCGAAAGCCAGGGGAGCAAACGGG